rnacentral:rRNA from 1 species
UACGUAGGGUGCAAGCGUUGUCCGGAAUUAUUGGGCGUAAAGAGCUCGUAGGCGGCUUGUCGCGUCGGCUGUGAAAACCUGGGGCUCAACCCCGGGCCUGCAGCCGAUACGGGCAAGCUAGAAUUCGGUAGGGGAGACUGGAAUUCCCGGUGUAGCGGUGGAAUGCGUAGAGAUCGGGAAGAACAUCAGUGGCGAAGGCGGCCUGCUGGGCUGUUGCUGACGCUGAGGCGCGACAGCGUGGGGAGCAAACAGG